GAUGAAGAACGUAGCGAAAUGCGAUAAGUAAUGUGAAUUGCAGAAUUCAGUGAAUCAUCGAAUCUUUGAACGCACAUUGCGCCCCCCAGUAUUCUGGCGGGCAUGCCUGUUCGAGCGUCAUUUCAACCAUCAAGCCCUGCUUGUGUUGGGGUCCUGCGGCUGCCCGCAGGCCCUGAAAACCAGUGGCGGGCUCGCUAGUCACACCGAGCGCAGUAGCACAUCUCGCUCAGGGCGUGCGGCGGGCUCCAGCCGUUAAAGCACCCACCUUUCGCAAGGUUGACCUCGGAUCAGGUAGGAAUACCCGCUGAACUUAAGCAUAUCAAUAGCGGAGA
rnacentral:misc_RNA from 1 species